UACAGAGGUCCCAAGCGUUGUUCGGAUUCACUGGGCGUAAAGGGUGCGUAGGCGGUCGGGUAAGUCUGACGUGAAAUCUCCAAGCUCAACUUGGAAAUGGCGUCGGAUACUAUUCGGCUUGAGGAGUGGAGGGGAGACGUGGAAUUCUCGGUGUAGCAGUGAAAUGCGUAGAUAUCGAGAGGAACACCAGUGGCGAAGGCGAGUCUCUGGACACUUCCUGACGCUGAGGCACGAAAGCCAGGGGAGCAAACGGG
rnacentral:rRNA from 1 species